GGCAGGAGGGAAGCAGAGCUUAGA
rnacentral:miRNA from 1 species